rnacentral:rRNA from 1 species
UACAGAGGUCCCAAGCGUUGUUCGGAUUUACUGGGCGUAAAGGGUGCGUAGGUGGUCGGGUAAGUCUCAUGUGAAAUCUCCAAGCUCAACUUGGAAAUGGCAUGGGAUACUAUUCGGCUAGAGGAUUGGAGGGGGGACUGGAAUUCCCGGUGUAGCAGUGAAAUGCGUAGAUAUCGGGAGGAACACCAGUGGCGAAGGCGAGUCCCUGGACAAUUCCUGACGCUGAGGCACGAAAGCUAGGGGAGCAAACAGGAUUAGAAACCCCCGUAGUCC